UACGGAGGGUGCGAGCGUUGUCCGGAAUCAUUGGGCGUAAAGGGCGCGUAGGUGGCCCGGUCAGUUCGUGGUGAAAGCGCGGGGCUCAACUCCGCGUCGGCCAUGAAUACUGCUGGGCUUGAGCACUGUAGAGGCAGGCGGAAUUCCGGGGUGUAGCGGUGGAAUGCGUAGAGAUCCGGAAGAACACCGGUGGCGAAGGCGGCCUGCUGGGCAGUAGCUGACACUGAGGCGCGACAGCGUGGGGAGCAAACAGG
rnacentral:rRNA from 1 species